rnacentral:rRNA from 1 species
UGGGGAAUAUUGGACAAUGGGCGAAAGCCUGAUCCAGCAAUGCCGCGUGUGUGAAGAAGGUCUUCGGAUUGUAAAGCACUUUCGACGGGGACGAUGAUGACGGUACCCGUAGAAGAAGCCCCCGGCUAACUUCGUGCCAA